GCGGUGUAGCUCAAUGGGCGAGCAACAGGUGUAACCUGAAGAUCCCGGUUCGAUUCCGGGCAUCGUCA
rnacentral:tRNA from 1 species